GACGAACGCUGGCGGCGCGCCUAACACAUGCAAGUCGAACGAGCGAGAGAGAGCUUGCUUUCUCGAGCGAGUGGCGAACGGGUGAGUAACGCGUGAGGAACCUGCCUCAAAGAGGGGGACAACAGUUGGAAACGACUGCUAAUACCGCAUAAGCCCACAGCUCGGCAUCGAGCAGAGGGAAAAGGAGCAAUCCGCUUUGAGAUGGCCUCGCGUCCGAUUAGCUAGUUGGUGAGGUAACGGCCCACCAAGGCGACGAUCGGUAGCCGGACUGAGGGGUUGAACGGCCACAUUGGGACUGAGACACGGCCCAGACUCCUACGGGAGGCAGCAGUGGGGAAUAUUGCACAAUGGGGGAAACCCUGAUGCAGCGACGCCGCGUGGAGGAAGAAGGUCUUCGGAUUGUAAACUCCUGUUGUUGAGGAAGAUAAUGACGGUACUCAACAAGGAAGUGACGGCUAACUACGUGCCAGCAGCCGCGGUAAAACGUAGGUCACAAGCGUUGUCCGGAAUUACUGGGUGUAAAGGGAGCGCAGGCGGGAAGACAAGUUGGAAGUGAAAUCCAUGGGCUCAACCCAUGAACUGCUUUCAAAACUGUUUUUCUUGAGUAGUGCAGAGGUAGGCGGAAUUCCCGGUGUAGCGGUGGAAUGCGUAGAUAUCGGGAGGAACACCAGUGGCGAAGGCGGCCUACUGGGCACCAACUGACGCUGAGGCUCGAAAGUGUGGGUAGCAAACAGGAUUAGAUACCCUGGUAGUCCACACUGUAAACGAUGAUUACUAGGUGUUGGAGGAUUGACCCCUUCAGUGCCGCAGUUAACACAAUAAGUAAUCCACCUGGGGAGUACGACCGCAAGGUUGAAACUCAAAGGAAUUGACGGGGGCCCGCACAAGCAGUGGAGUAUGUGGUUUAAUUCGACGCAACGCGAAGAACCUUACCAAGUCUUGACAUCCUGCGAUGGUGCUGGAAACAGUACUUUCCUUCGGGACGCAGAGACAGGUGGUGCAUGGUUGUCGUCAGCUCGUGUCGUGAGAUGUUGGGUUAAGUCCCGCAACGAGCGCAACCCUUAUGGUCAGUUACUACGCAAGAGGACUCUGGCCAGACUGCCGUUGACAAAACGGAGGAAGGUGGGGAUGACGUCAAAUCAUCAUGCCCUUUAUGACUUGGGCUACACACGUACUACAAUGGCGUUAAACAAAGAGAAGCAAGACCGCGAGGUGGAGCAAAACUCAGAAACAACGUCCCAGUUCGGACUGCAGGCUGCAACUCGCCUGCACGAAGUCGGAAUUGCUAGUAAUCGCAGAUCAGCAUGCUGCGGUGAAUACGUUCCCGGGCCU
rnacentral:rRNA from 1 species